UUGACCUCAAUCAGGUAGGAAUACCCGCUGAACUUAAGCAUAUCAAUAAGCGGAGGA
rnacentral:rRNA from 1 species